rnacentral:snRNA from 1 species
AGCUUUGCACAGUGGCAGUAUCGCAGCCAAUGAGGUUAAUCUGAGGCGCAAUUAUUGCUAAUUUAAUUUUUUUCAAAGAGUCG